rnacentral:rRNA from 1 species
UGGGGAAUAUUGCACAAUGGGCGAAAGCCUGAUGCAGCAACGCCGCGUGAACGAUGAAGGUCUUCGGAUCGUAAAGUUCUAUUGCAGGGGAAAAUAAUGACGGUACCCUGUGAGGAAGCCCCGGCUAACUACGUGCCAGCAGCCGCGGUAAUACGUAGGGGGCUAGCGUUAUCCGGAUUUACUGGGCGCAAAGGGGGCGUAGGUGGUCCUUCAAGUCCGUGGUUAAAGGCUACGGCUCAACCGUAUUAAGCCGNNGAAUUUGNNGAAUUGNAAGUGCAGGAGAGGAAAGUGGAAUUCCCAGUGUAGCGGUGAAAUGCGUAGAUAUUGGGAAGAAAACCCCUAACGAAGGGGGUUUUUUGUGGGCUGCAACUGAAACUGAGGAAAAAAGGGGGGGAAAAAAAAAAAAUAAAACCCCGGGGCCCCCCCCCUAAAAAAAAAAAAAAAANGGGGGGGGGGNNNNCNNCCCNCGGGNCNNNUNANANNANNNUAUAAAUAUCCNUUAAGUACUCCGCCUGGGGAGUACGCACGCAAGUGUG